rnacentral:rRNA from 1 species
AGCGAACGCUGGCGGCAGGCCUAACACAUGCAAGUCGAACGAACCUUUCGGGGUUAGUGGCGGACGGGUGAGUAACACGUGGGAACGUGCCUUUAGGUUCGGAAUAACUCAGGGAAACUUGUGCUAAUACCGCAUGUGCCCUUCGGGGGAAAGAUUAAUCGCCUUUAGAGCGGCCCGCGUCUGAUUAGCCCGUUGGUUGAGGUAAUGGCUCACCAAGGCGACGAUCAGUAGCUGGUCUGAGAGGAUGAUCAGCCACAUUGGGACUGAGACACGGCCCAAACUCCUACGGGAUGCAGCCGUGGGGAAUCUUGCGCAAUGGGCGAAAGCCUGACGCAGCCGUGCCGCGUGAAUGAUGAAGGUCUUAGGAGUGUAAAAUUCUUUCACCGGGGACGAUACUGACGGUACCCGGAGAAGAAGCCCCGGCUAACUUCGUG